GUUGAAAUACCGGUUCUCAUAUGAUCACCAAAGUUAAGCAACAUCCAGUCUGGUCAGUACCUAGAUGGGUAACCACUUAGGAAUGCUAGGUGCUGUAAG